rnacentral:rRNA from 1 species
UACGAAGGGGGCUAGCGUUGCUCGGAAUCACUGGGCGUAAAGGGUGCGUAGGCGGGUCUUUAAGUCAGGGGUGAAAUCCUGGAGCUCAACUCCAGAACUGCCUUUGAUACUGAAGAUCUUGAGUUCGGGAGAGGUGAGUGGAACUGCGAGUGUAGAGGUGAAAUUCGUAGAUAUUCGCAAGAACACCAGUGGCGAAGGCGGCUCACUGGCCCGAUACUGACGCUGAGGCACGAAAGCGUGGGGAGCAAACAGGGAUUAAGAAAC